rnacentral:misc_RNA from 1 species
UGUGGGCCUGACAGCUCCCAGUGUUCGGUGCAGUUUUUUUCGUGACUCCCGUUUAGUUUGGUUAGGAUUGGCUGUCAGUGAACAGUCAGCGGUCGUGAGCUCAGGUCGCAGUGAACGAUCCUGUUUGUUUGAAAGAAAUGUACAGCCAACAGUUGCCCUGACAAAAGAUCCUUUUCGAAUGCAACAAUUGGCUCGCUGUUGACCACACACCUGAUAGUGCAGAAAAAGGAGAAGAAUGGUGUAAAGGAGUGAAGUGUCUUGAUUGCUACUGACACUGAAGUGACCAUUUACUGAGACUGCAGACAAUCUAACAGUUCUUAGUGCUACACUUAUCCAAAAUGCCUUUUUUUGGUAAACGUGAUAAAGAUAAGGAGUCCAGUAAGAAGAGCACCAAUCUCUUGAAAAAAGAUGAUAAAUCCUCGCCAUCCCUGGAAGAUAGAUAUGAAUUGAAAGACCUCCUUGGAACAGGUGCGUUCUCACAAGUUCGGCUGGCGGAAUCGAAAACGGAAGCUGGCAAACUGUAUGCCGUCAAAAUCAUCGACAAGACGGCGCUCAAAGGCAAAGAGGACUCGCUAGAGAACGAGAUCAAAGUUCUACGUAGGCUCAAGCACCCCAAUAUCGUCCAGCUGCUGGAGACGUACGAGGACAAGAGCAAAGUCUACCUGGUCAUGGAAUUAGUGACAGGUGGUGAGUUGUUCGAUCGCAUCGUCGAGAAGGGAUCGUACACUGAAAAGGAUGCAGCUGAUCUGAUGCGACAAGUCUUGGAGGCCGUCGACUACAUGCACGAGCAAGGAGUCGUUCAUCGUGAUCUGAAGCCGGAGAAUCUGCUCUAUUACUGUCCAGACGAAGACAGCAAGAUAAUGAUCAGCGAUUUCGGCUUGUCCAAAAUGGAGGAUUCCGGUAUAAUGGCCACUGCGUGCGGGACUCCCGGUUAUGUCGCGCCGGAAGUAUUGGCGCAAAAGCCCUACGGCAAAGCCGUCGAUGUCUGGAGCAUCGGAGUCAUUUCCUACAUUCUGCUGUGCGGCUAUCCGCCGUUUUACGACGAGAGCGACGCCAAUCUCUUCGCACAAAUCCUCAAAGGUGAAUUCGAAUUCGACUCGCCGUAUUGGGACGAAAUCAGCGAUUCUGCCAAGGAUUUCAUCCGUCGGCUCAUGUGCGUCGACGUCAACAAGCGUUUCACCUGUCGCGAAGCCCUCCAACAUCCAUGGAUAUCUGGCAACGCUGCCAGCACCAAGAACAUCCAUAGUUCCGUCUCGGAGCAACUGAAGAAGAACUUUGCCAAAUCACGAUGGAGGCAACUGAUGCACGCCAUCGCCAUGGUGCACAAGAUGCAACGGUUGGCGCUCUCCUCGUCGUCCAUGAUUCCGGUCGCCAUUCACGAAGAAGAGAAGGAAGAAGGGCCUGGCGUCGAGUCGACAGUCAACCAUAGAGACGAACUCGACGCUAUCGAUAUCGACCCUUCGUCGUCUACCGCAGCUUCUUCUGCCGCCGCUCCGGCUGCUUUUCCCGCUCGGGGUUCAUCGAUCGCCGGCGGAUCCACUGCCGAUCCCAUGGAUCUCUAGUCCGUUCCGGCCAUUUCUCAACAACAAAAAAAAACCAAAAAAAAACAAAACCAAAACCAAACAAAACAAAAAAAAAAAACUGCUGGUUAUUUCCGACUCUUCUUUUUCUUUUCUUUCCAUCGCUAUUCUCUUUCUUAUAUUCAUUUUGUUCUUCUUCUUCUUCUUCUUCUUCUUUCGUUGACUUUCUUCAUCUUCUCUUUUGUCCAUAUCUUCGUACAAAUCGACGCUGGCACUUGGAGAAACGGACGCCCGAGCCGACAUGUCAAGCGUACAACGCGACGGCCGUCAUCCGCCAGAUGAGGCACUUGGUGUUGGCCAGCACGAGCCGGUCGACGUUGAGCAGCGGCGAAGACAACAAUUCUUCCAGCGAUCGCGAACUGGAUGAUCAACCGCCUCCGCCCAAGAGUGUCACCGCAGCAGCCAACGGGCGUCCAGCUCUCUAGCUAGAUCACGAGCCCCAAAAGAUCGAACCCAGAUAGCAAGAUAACAAUUUGAA